rnacentral:rRNA from 1 species
GGGAUUGCCUCAGUAACGGCGAGUGAAGCGGCAACAGCUCAAAUUUGAAAUCUGGCCCUUUUGGGGUCCGAAUUGUAAUUUGUAGAGAGUGCUUCGGGCGAGGCCUCGGUUUAAGUCCAUUGGAACAUGGUGUCAUAGAGGGUGAGAAUCCCGUAUGCGACCGUGGCUCGAGCCCAUGUGAAGCCUCUUCGACGAGUCGAGUUGUUUGGGAAUGCAGCUCAAAAUGGGUGGUAAAUUUCAUCUAAAGCUAAAUACUGGCUGGAGACCGAUAGCGCACAAGUAGAGUGAUCGAAAGAUGAAAAGCACUUUGGAAAGAGAGUCAAACAGUACGUGAAAUUGUUGAAAGGGAAGCGCUUGCAACCAGACCUGCCCGUAGGCGAUCAGCCGCUGUUCUCAGCGGUGUACUCGCUCUGCGAUCAGGCCAGCAUCGGUUUCGGCGGUCGGAUAAAGGCCUUGGGAAUGUAGCUUCCCUUCGGGGGAGUCUUAUAGCCCUCGGUGCAAUGCGGCCAGCCGGAACCGAGGACCGCGCUUCGGCUAGGAUGCUGGCGUAAUGGUUGUAAGCGACCCGUCUUGAAACACGGACCAAGGAGUCUAACAUCUAUGCGAGUGUUUGGGUGUCAAACCCAUGCGCGGAAUGAAAGUGAACGGAGGUGAGAACCCUUAAGGGCGCAUCAUCGACCGAUCCAGAUGUCUUCGGAUGGAUUUGAGUAUGAGCAUAGCUGUUGGGACCCGAAAGGUAUGUUUAAUUCCCCUAAAAUUACAGUAAGAAUCAUAUGCUAACUUUUCCAAAAGAUGGUGAACUAUGCCUGAAUAGGGUGAAGCCAGAGGAAACUCUGGUGGAGGCUCGCAGCGGUUCUGACGUGCAAAUCGAUCGUCAAAUUUGGGUAUAGGGGCGAAAGACUAAUCGAACCA